AACGCACCUUGCGCUCCUUGGUAUUCCGAGGAGCAUGCCUGUUUGAGUGUCAUUAAAUUCUCAACCUUUCCAGCUUUUUAUUAGCUUGGUUAGGCUUGGAUGUGGGAGUUGCAGGCUUCACUUAUGAGAUCAGCUCUCCUUAAAUGCAUUAGUGGAACUUUUGUGGACCGUCUAUUGGUGUGAUAAUUAUCUAUGCCGUGGAUGUGAAGCAGCUUAAUAAAGUUCAGCUUCUAACUGUCCAUUGACUUGGACAAUUUUGACAAUUUGACCUCAAAUCAGGUAGGACUACCCGCUGAACUUAA
rnacentral:rRNA from 1 species